CAGGCCCUAUCAACGAUUAUGAAAACCUGGAUCGCAUCGAUCAACUGCUGACUGAACCGUUAAUUAAUGAAACAACGGGUCAGAGCAAAUCUGUCAACAGAUGUGUACUGCAAGAUAUUUCAAACGUUGACUUGUCAACGCUUGUCUCACAACCGGGGUUUGCUACACCCAAACCGAAG